UUUUUUUUUUUUUUUUUUUGCGGGGGGAUAACUGAAAUAUUAAACGCAAUGAAAAUGACCUAUAAGAGAAUGGAUAAUAAAUUGAAUAAUUUUUUUAAGAUUUUAUUUAUUUAUUAGUACACAUGAACAGGGAGAGGGACAGAGGGAGAGGGAGGAACAGACUCCCUGCUGAGCAUGGAGCCCAACAUGGGGCUCCAUCCCAGGACUCCGAGAUCAUGACCUGAGCCAAGGUCAGACACCCAACUGACUGAGUCAUCCAGGUGCCCCAAAUUGAAGAAUUAAUAGACUUUUAGAAAGCAUGAAAAUAAAUUGGAGCUGCUUUUAAACAAAGAUACAUCCAUAUUAAUAAGAGAUAACAGAGAUAAAUUAUGCUUGGGUCUAGAGGAUAAGUCAACCACCUGAACCAGAAUCUCUCCACACAUUUUCAAAAAAAACAUCAUUAUGUACAAGUAGUGCAAAUAUAAUCACAUGUGAUGCAUGCCUUUAGCAAUAUUAGAAGACAGAGAAUACCACAAACAUCCAAUUAUCAGAAAAUGGAUUAGUUCCAAAUUUUAAAAAGUUUCCUCCACUGCUACAAGACAUCUAAAUGUAAAGGUGGGAGAGGCAGGACUUCAAAGAAUCUUUGAAAAAGAAAAAAGGGAGUGGAUGAUUAAACAAAGCAUAGGCAAAAUCAAACCUUGAAAGAAAAUGUCAAACAUUAAGUGCUAACAUACUGAAUACAGCCUGGGUCUUAGUAAGUUAUAACAAUGGAUGUCAAGAAGGAGCUUGAAAAUAAGAGACCAGAAGUGUCAGAUACAGAGAGCGUUACUUUUGAGGAAGAAUCAGCUACAUUUAUGAGAAGGUAAUGUCCCUUAACGACAUGGCAAUGAAGAGAACAAAAGAAGGGGAAAAAUUAAGGAUUCUACAGAAACAGAAGAAAUAAGUCGUGCCAGCCACCCUACCUCACUGCUACAUACAUAAAACUGCCACCACAAAAACAUUAUCUUUUAAAGGAAUUACACUUCACUAUAUUGACACAAUAAGAUACUUUUCAAGUAGGAAAUUGUCUACAAAAUGCUUGUUUAAAAAAAUCAGACCAACACAAUGCAAAACUACUCUGAGAUGAAACAAAAAAGGUAAAUUGUAACAUUUCACCUAAUGAAAAUUAUUCCUCAAAACAAAACUGUAAGACCAAGUUCUAAACUAAAAUUAAAUAUUCUCAAACAAGCAUUAGAUGUGUGUAUAUAUGUGUACACAUCAAAUCUAGUUCACCACCUAAGAACACAAAUGGACAAAAUCAGAAAGGAAUGCCUCAAAAGUUGACCUAAUCUGGAAAAAUUUGAAGGAAAAGACAAAACUAUCUCACAAGUGAAGAAUAAAUUACCUUCAUCUGUCUAAAGCAGAGAAGACUCAAGCAGAAUUUUAAUAACCAUCAGUGAAGAAAGAGAAGAAAUAACCAAAGGAAUGGUGAUUGAAAAAGUAAAACAGAUCUUAGAAAAAUGCUUAAAAUGAAAGGCAAAGAAGAUUCAACAUCUGUAUUAUUGAAGUCCUGGAUGAAGAAGAAAAUAAAGCAAUGGAACAAAAGUUUUUACCAUAAUCCAGGAGACUUUAUGUAAGGAAGAGAAGAAUGGUAAAAUUGACCUGGAAUGAACAACUCUGAGACUUACCCUAGCAAAACUCUUGGACAUUAAGGAAAAAUAAGAAAUUUUGAAGACCAUGAGGCAAAAUAAUCAGUUUACUUAUGUGGGUAAGAAUAUUAGUAUGAUCUCACACUUUUCAAGAGGAACAUAAAAAUCAAGGCAAUAAUGGAGCAUCAUUUUAAGAAAAAUUCAAACAAAUUUUUAGAUUUCUGUAUGCAAGCUAUAUAAACAUAAAUGUUCUCACACCCUUCCUGGAAAUCCAUCUAGAAGAUGAAUUUCAUGUAAACAAAAGGUGACUCGGAAAAUACAUCAAAACAAUUGAUGGGGGCAGCCUGGGUGGCUCAGUGGUUUAGCACCACCUUCAGUCCAGGGCAUGAUCCUGGAGUCCCAGGAUCAAAUCCCACAUCAGGCUCCCUGUGUGGAGCCUGCUUCUCCCUCUCCCUCUGCCUAUGUCUCUGCCUCUCUCUCUGUUUCUCUCAUGAAUAAAUAAAAUCUUUAAAAAAAAAAAAAAAAAAAAAAAACCAAUUGAUGGUGAGCAUUUAAUAGAAUUGUAGUACUAAUACUAAAAUAAGAGUAGGGAUUUGGAUCAAAGAGUAGAAUAUAAAUAUAUAUUCUGCCCAAUAGGAAGAAUGCAAGUUAAAAAAGUAAGAGGAAAAAAAAAAGUAAGAGGAAAGGAGAGAGAGAGGAAGGGAAAACUAAAAUAAAAUUGUUGUGUAUAGGUAAUAGGUGAGAGUCAAAAGGUGCCAUUUAAAACUGACCAAAUAGAAAAAGUUAGAAAAGAACAAAGGGCAUGGUAAAAGUUAUAUAAAUAACUGUACUUACGCACAUAGACAUAAAACAAAUAGAUCCUAGCUGGAAAAGAGAAAUCUGGAGUUUUUUGUAGUUAUGUAGGACUGACAAAAAAAAAAAAAAAAAAAGGAAAAUAUAAAGUACAUGGUUAAAUUUUACCAUGGAAUAUGUGCCAAAUUCUGGGAUGUUACCAGAAACUGAGGAAGACUGAGUAGGAAAGGCAGAGUGAAACAUUCACUUGUCUUGCAGAGUUUUGGAAACAAAGUUCUAUUAGAGAGAAGGAGUUUUCAGCAAACCCACAAUAGAUACUUCAAGGCAUUUACAAGAUUUUUUAACCUGCAAAAGAUGGGUACUAAGUUUAAAAUCUUCCAAAGGUAGAACUUUCAAGGCUGAAAAAAAAAAAAAAAAAAGAAAAGAGUAUGCAGACUAUCAAUCGGAAACCCAAGAGGACCAGGGCACCUGGGUGCCUCAGUCGGUGGAGGAUCAACUCUUGAUUUCAGCUUGGGUCCUGAUCUCAGGGUCCUGAUAUGAAGCCCCACAUCAUGCUGAGCAUGGAGCUUGCUUGGGAUUCUCUCCCUCUUCUCCCUUUACUCCUCUCCUUGCUCUUAUGCUCUCUUUCAAAAAAAAAAAAAUAAUAAUAAUAAAAUAAUUAAAAAGCCCAGGAGGAACGAAGAAUAGGGAUGAACCAGAGAUGGACUAAAUCUUAACCAAAUUAGCAAUCCAGUAUAAGACCUGAUUGGAUUGACUAGCCUUUCACUCUAUCUGACAAAAGAAAGGAAGAAUCAUUGCUAAUGGAAGAUAUUAUCUGGAGCCUCUACAGUUAAAUGCAAUGUCCAAUAUACUAUAAAGUAUUUCUAAAAAUAUGAAGAAGACGAAGUAAGUGAUAGUAAUAUAAAAAGAAAAGUAAAACUGAAGACCCAUGGAUAGAUGGGUAGAUGAUCCUGAUACUGCAAUUAGAAAACAAGGUUUUUAUUUUAAAUAAAAUUUUAAGUUACAAUUUUAAGUUAAAUGGAGAAAAAUAUGGGCAAAAUCAAUGAGAAGUUUUCAACAAAGAAUUGGAAUCUAUAAGAAGGAAUUUUAAAUUCUCUUUAUUUUGCCUAAAGAAUAAUGUCUCCUGUUUUGUAUAGUAAUUUUAACUGCAAGACAUAGUAUCAUCAGAGGAUCCUGUUUUAUUAGUAGGUAUGUUCCUAACACUGUAAACAGUUGUAAGUUAUCUAACAAAAACAGCUAAACAAAAGACUUAGUAAGUUUAAUACAAGUAUAAUGCAAAGCAAAAAUUAAAAGUGGGCACCUAGAGUAAAACACAUUGAAUUUUUCUUCAAAAUCAGGAAAACAGCAAAACAAAAGUCACCAUUGGAAUGUCAAAGAAUAAAACAGACCACUAGAGCUAACACAAAAAUAAACAAAACAUAAGCAAAACUGGUAUCUUGUUUUUCCCACCGUACUUAUAUGUAUGUAUUUAUUCCCCCCCCACACACACACUGUAUUUGUAUUUAGCUGUGAAAAAUAAAAUAUCCAAAAUGACCUUUUACCCUCAGAUCUGUUUAAGGACCAUUUGAAUUGAUAAAGUUUAUUAUUAGUAACAUGUUUUUCUUAAAUAUUUAUAAUAGCAUUAUCCCAUCUAACUGGGCCCUAGGAUUUUUUUCCACUUUCAAAAGG
rnacentral:lncRNA from 1 species